rfam:Geobacillus sp. BCO2 LR69_contig000031, whole genome shotgun sequence.
GAACGCCGUGUGCGGGGAAACUCGCACGCACGGUGUGAAGCGGGGGAAAAUAGCCCCUCCGGGUAAUGCCGAGGGUGACUAUUACCUAUCGCUAUCGCUCGACCCCAU